rnacentral:rRNA from 1 species
GACGAACGCUGGCGGCGUGCCUAAUACAUGCAAGUUGAGCGCUGAAGGUUGGUACUUGUACCAACUGGAUGAGCAGCGAAUGGGUGAGUAACGCGUGGGGAAUCUGCCUUUGAGCGGGGGACAACAUUUGGAAACGAAUGCUAAUACCGCAUAAAAACUUUAAACACAAGUUUUAAGUUUGAAAGAUGCAAUUGCAUCACUCAAAGAUGAUCCCGCGUUGUAUUAGCUAGUUGGUGAGGUAAAGGCUCACCAAGGCGAUGAUACAUAGCCGACCUGAGAGGGUGAUCGGCCACAUUGGGACUGAGACACGGCCCAAACUCCUACGGGAGGCAGCAGUAGGGAAUCUUCGGCAAUGGACGAAAGUCUGACCGAGCAACGCCGCGUGAGCGAAGAAGGUUUUCGGAUCGUAAAACUCUGUUGGUAGAGAAGAACGUUGGUGAGAGUGGAAAGCUCAUCAAGUGACGGUAACUACCCAGAAAGGGACGGCUAACUACGUG